rnacentral:rRNA from 1 species
UACGUAUGGUGCAAGCGUUGUUCGGAAUCACUGGGCAUAAAGAGCACGUAGGCGGCUCUUCAAGUCAGGUGUGAAAGCCCUCGGCUCAACCGAGGAAUUGCAUCUGAAACUGCUGAGCUAGAGUGCGGGAGGGGAGAACGGAAUUCCAGGUGGAGCGGUGAAAUGCGUAGAUAUCUGGAGGAACGCCGGAGGCGAAAGCGGUUCUCUGGCCCGCAACUGACGCUGAGGUGCGAAAGCUAGGGGAGCAAACAGG